rnacentral:rRNA from 1 species
GACGAACGCUGGCGGCGUGCCUAAUACAUGCAAGUCGAGCGGAAUGAUGAAGAAGCUUGCUUCUUCUGAUUUUAGCGGCGGACGGGUGAGUAACACGUGGGCAACCUACCUUGUAGAUUGGGAUAACUCCGGGAAACCGGGGCUAAUACCGAAUAAUCCAUUUUGCUUCAUGGCGAGAUGUUGAAAGACGGUUUCGGCUGUCACUACAAGAUGGGCCCGCGGCGCAUUAGCUAGUUGGUAGGGUAAUGGCCUACCAAGGCGACGAUGCGUAGCCGACCUGAGAGGGUGAUCGGCCACACUGGGACUGGGACACGGCCCAGACUCCUACGGGAGGCAGCAGUAGGGAAUCUUCCACAAUGGACGAAAGUCUGAUGGAGCAACGCCGCGUGAGUGAAGAAGGUUUUCGGAUCGUAAAACUCUGUUGUAAGGGAAGAACACGUACGAGAGUAACUGCUCGUACCUUGACGGUACCUUAUUAGAAAGCCACGGCUAACUACGUG